rnacentral:tRNA from 1 species
UGCCGGGUCGUCUAAUGGCAGGACACUGGACUCUGGAUCCAGGAACGUAGGUUCGACCCCUGCCCCGGCAGCCA